GAUGAACGCUGGCGGCGUGCCUAAUACAUGCAAGUCGAGCGAACAGACGAGGAGCUUGCUCCCCUGACGUUAGCGGCGGACGGGUGAGUAACACGUGGAUAACCUACCUAUAAGACUGGGAUAACUUCGGGAAACCGGAGCUAAUACCGGAUAACAUGUUGAACCGCAUGGUUCAACAGUGAAAGACGGUUUUGCUGUCACUUAUGGAUGGAUCCGCGUCGCAUUAGCUAGUUGGUAAGGUAACGGCUUACCAAGGCAACGAUGCGUAGCCGACCUGAGAGGGUGAUCGGCCACACUGGAACUGAGACACGGUCCAGACUCCUACGGGAGGCAGCAGUAGGGAAUCUUCCGCAAUGGGCGAAAGCCUGACGGAGCAACGCCGCGUGAGUGAAGAAGGUCUUCGGAUCGUAAAACUCUGUUAUUAGGGAAGAACAAAUGUGUAAGUAACUAUGCACGUCUUGACGGUACCUAAUCAGAAAGCCACGGCUAACUACGUG
rnacentral:rRNA from 1 species